rnacentral:rRNA from 1 species
CGCUAUCACUCCUACGGGAGGCAGCAGUGGGGAAUAUUGCACAAUGGGCGCAAGCCUGAUGCAGCCAUGCCGCGUGUAUGAAGAAGGCCUUCGGGUUGUAAAGUACUUUCAGCAGUGAGGAAGGCGGGUACGUUAAUAGCGUGCUUGUUUGACGUUAGCUGCAGAAGAAGCACCGGCUAACUCCGUGCCAGCAGCCGCGGUAAUACGGAGGGUGCGAGCGUUAAUCGGAAUUACUGGGCGUAAAGCGCAUGCAGGCGGCCUGUUAAGUCAGAUGUGAAAGCCCGGGGCUUAACCUCGGAAUUGCAUUUGAAACUGGCAGGCUAGAGUCUUGUAGAGGGGGUAGAAUUUCAGGUGUAGCGGUGAAAUGCGUAGAGAUCUGAAGGAAUACCAGUGGCGAAGGCGGCCCCCUGGACAAAGACUGACGCUCAGAUGCGAAAGCGUGGGGAGCAAACAGGAUUAGAUACCCUGGUAG